CAAUAGCGUAUAUUAAAGUUGUUGCAGUUAAAAAGCUCGUAGUUGGAUUUCUGCUGAGGACGAUCGGUCCGCCCACUGGGUGAGUAUCUGGCUCGGCCUUGGCAUCUUCUUGGAGAACGUUGCUGCACUUGACUGUGUGGCGCGGUAUCCAGGACUUUUACUUUGAGGAAAUUAGAGUGUUUCAAGCAGGCGCACGCCUUGAAUACAUUAGCAUGGAAUAAUGAGAUAGGACCUUGGUUCUAUUUUGUUGGUUUCUAGAGCUGAGGUAAUGAUUAAUAGGGAUAGUUGGGGGCAUUCGUAUUUAACUGUCAGAGGUGCAAUUCUUGGAUUUGUUAAAGACGGACUACUGCGAAAGCAUUUGCCAAGGAUGUUUUCAUUGA
rnacentral:rRNA from 1 species